CAGAGAUUUGAAUUUGGAAUCUUAGCUAUGUUUAGAUGCGUACAAAAAUGUGUUGCUUUUAUUGUAAAAUAUCUGCUGGCUAAAUAUCCAAAAUUUGUACCAGACUUUGAAGAACCUAACACCGAUGAGCCACCCGAUCCAACUGACUCAAGAAAAUUUCCUUGAAUUGUCAAAUUUUAGGAACAUUUGUUCAAAAUUUAAAUUUUUUAAUAAAGGAUUAUCUUAAUUGA